rnacentral:rRNA from 1 species
GUCUACAGCCUGAACGAGCCCGAUCCCGUCUGUUCUCGGAAGCUAAGCAGAGUCGGACCUGGUUAGUACUUGGACGGGAGACCACCUUGUUAGACCAAGGGCUGUAGGCA